rnacentral:tRNA from 1 species
GGACCCGUAGCUCAGCGCGAGAGCGGGGGACUGAAAAUCCCCUGAUCCCGGUUGGACUCCGGGCGGGUCCA